UACUUAAGUGACUAACGUAUAUUGGGA
rnacentral:sRNA from 1 species